GGGCGCAUGGUCUAGAGGUAUGAUAUUCGCUUUGCAUCUGAAUAUUCAGAUUAAUGCCUGCGAAGGGUCCGGGGUUCAAUUCCCCGUACGUCCA
rnacentral:tRNA from 1 species